AAAAUAAAAUCAGAAACUCUCAUUGUUAGUAUUCAUUUGUUUUUUUUGCACCAAAAUGGGUUCAGAAUAGUAGUCCCGUUCCUUUCACUUCGUAUAGGAUCUAAGAAACUGUACAUUUUCCGUCACUUUCUCGGGAAAAUGUGAAACUUUUCCCAGUUAUCUCCCUAGUUAGCAAUUAUCAGGUUCCUUUUUCCCUCUUUCGAAAUUGGAUCGUGUUUUCUAGUUUAUCUCAUUGCUAUUCAAGCCCUGCUCGUGUCGAGAAUGGGCGUUGACUUUGGGGAAAAUGGCAAUUCACGUCCGUGACAACCCGCAAGAUUUGAACUUUAGGGUUAGGGUUUGCGAAUUCUUCAACAUCAGGGAUUUGGGUCGAUUGGGUUUUUGAUAAAUUACAGAUUUUUAAAUAGUUUCUGGUUGAAUUUGGAUAUCGGGUGUGCGUUUUUCUUGGUCGUGCUUCGAAUUUGUUAAUGGAUACGGAUGCUAAGGAUGCUACUAAUGGCUGUAAAACUGAGAAGUCGGAGACCACAGACUCUCAAAGAGUUGAGGAAAAUGUUAAUGGAGAUGAAGAUAGUGAGUCUAAUUCUUUGUUGCCGCCUCGGAGAGGCGGUAUGUCAAGGAAAACGAAUAAAACCCGACGGAAAGUGCAGUGGAAUGAUAAGAAUGGGAAUAAGCUUGUUGAGGUGUUGGAAUUCGAACCAAGAAGUAAUGUUAGCAUCUGACGGGAGACCUUUAGCUUAUUGGAGUUCAGCUAAUUACUUGACUGGCUAUUUGUUACAAACGGGAGUUGCAUCUACUGUUCCUACUCUAGAAAAACUGUUUGAUUUUGAGGCAGUGGAUUGUUGUGAUGUUAGUGAUUCUGAUGAUGAAGAUGCAGAUUCUUGCAUAUGUAUUAUUAUGUAGAUAUCAUUCAGUACACGAAUUAUCAGGGUACAUUUGCUUGAUAAAUCAAUUAGGCAAUUUCUCCAAGCGGAUUUUGAUGCUUUUUAUACAAACUGGCUCUGUUUUAACCUACCAUGUCAAGGAUGGACCAAAGGUCCUGAGACCAAGGCAAGGCAGUCUCCCAUGUCUUGCAUCUAAGUCUAGUACGAUUUUUUUUUCGGUUAACUUGCUGUGAGCUCUCUUACAACCAGAUGCAAACUGAGUGGACCAUCAUCUUCCAGGAGUGAAAGCAGAUAAGGAUAACAGCAAUAUGGUUUCAUAUGUAAUAUAUUAAAUGCAGUUGAGAUUUUGUAUGCUUUACAAGGCAUAUUUGUAUGUUGUAUGUAUUUAGAAUGGCAGAAUACUUUGAUAAUCAUCCCGUUCAAUAAAAGGUACUUCAAUUCUGUUUA